UUGUCCGAAUUUGUCUGGACGGCCACAGUAUUUGCCUCACUGGACAAGCCGCUACAGGGAAGACGUUUACAGUAAAUUAAAUCCAAGAAUCAGUGAAAAACUUUGAAAGUCAGAUGCAAUAACAUGCGUAAGAGAUCACAGCAUCGUUAAGAUUGUGACAGCGUGACAUACAGCAGAGAUGGAAGAUGAGGGAUUACCUAUCGACAGAGGAUGGGCCUGGGUAACUCUGGCAGGCACUUUCCUCAUUCAGAUGGUGACUAUUGGUUGUCUGAAGUCCUUCGGCUUGAUCUAUGCGGAGUUCCUGGAGUACUUUGACACGAGCGCUGGUGGGGCUGCCUGGG